GAGGUGCCAACUCCCGGUGGAAAAACCUGAAAGUAUGCUUUGAUGCGCCCAAGUUUUCCUGAAGCUUAUCGGAACGUGUAGUUCUAUUUCGUCCUGCCGAGAGUCUGAACGGGAGUCACCGGAAGUAAUGUAGCUUGCCGAAAAAAUAAGGCACCUGUCCAAGAAAACAAAACACACUCACACACACCCACAAAAAGCAGAAGAUAGAAUAGAAAGAAAAGAGCAGGAGUUGCCGGAAAAAUUGCCGGCGAAAAGCAAGAAUUCAAAACCUCUAAACAGCAAUAGGGACAAACUUGAAUAACCAAACUGUUAGAAUAUGUAAUAGUAGAACCCUAAUCCAAUGAGUAUUAGGAGUAGCCUAAUCCAAUGUUUAUUAGGAGUAGGUU
rnacentral:lncRNA from 1 species